rnacentral:rRNA from 1 species
UACGGGGGGGGCAAGCGUUGUUCGGAAUUACUGGGCGUAAAGGGCUUGUAGGCGGCCAACUAAGUCAUACGUGAAAUCCCUCGGCUUAACCGGGGAACUGCGUCUGAUACUGGAUGGCUUGAGUUCGGGAGAGGGAUGCGGAAUUCCAGGUGUAGCGGUGAAAUGCGUAGAUAUCGGGAGGAACACCUGUGGCGAAAGCGGCUCACUGGACCAUUACUGACGCUGAGGCGCGAAAGCUAGGGGAGCAAACAGG